rnacentral:sRNA from 1 species
GCCAGGCAUGAUGGUACAUGCCUGUAGUUCCAGCUACCAGGGGAGCUGAGAUGGGAGGAUCACUUGAGCCUAGGAGGUCGAGGCUGCAGUGAGCCAAGAUCUUGGCCACUGUACUCCAGCCUAGGUGACAAAGUGAGAUCCUGUCUCAA